CAGCCCGGUAAUUCCAGCUCCAAUAGCGUAUAUUAAAGUUGUUGCAGUUAAAAAGCUCGUAGUUGAAUUUCGGGAUUGACGUGACGGUCAUGCCUUAAGGGGUAUGAACUGUUACAGUUGAUUUCUCACCUUCUGGAGAAACUUGAUGUCCUUUAUUGGGUGUCUUGCGGAUCCAGGACCUUUACCUUGAAAAAAUUAGAGUGUUUAAAGCAGGCAUUUUUGCUCGAAUACAUUAGCAUGGAAUAAUAGAAUAGGACGGCAUGGUUCUAUUUUGUUGGUUUCUAGGAUCACCGUAAUGAUUAAUAGGGAUAGUUGGGGGCAUUAGUAUUCAAUUGUCAGAGGUGAAAUUCUUGGAUUUAUUGAAGACUAACUACUGCGAAAGCAUUUGCCAAGGAUGUUUUCAUUAAUCAAGAACGAAAGUUAGGGGAUCGAAGACGAUCAGAUACCGUCGUAGUCUUAACCAUAAACUAUGCCGACUAGGAAUCAGACGAUGUUAAUUUUUUAAUGACUCGUUUGGCACCUUACG
rnacentral:misc_RNA from 1 species